rnacentral:lncRNA from 1 species
GCGCACCUGCCCUUGACGCAUCUCAUUUCAUCUCUUUCUCUCGCAUCUUCCUCUUCUAUCCAGAUCUUCCUCGCGCACCUCCGCCCAGGUCAAUGCCCUCAGCCUCGCGCCCGUGCAACCUGCCGUUGCCCCGUCUGUACCUUGGAGCUUGACCCCAUUGACUCAGGCAGCGCGCUGGACGGCUGCACCCUGGACCCUGGUUGCACUCUUGACUUCGGUGGCAGGGAGGUUCCGCCGGCUGUUCUGUCCAAUCCGUCGCCUGGUGCUGGGACCGGGCGACGGGAUCUGCAGACUUGGUUUGGUGGAGAUGCAACCGUGGCGACGAGGAGCUGCAACCGGCCGUGGAUUAGAGCUGCAUCCGAUGGCGCUGCCUGGUGCUCGGACUGGCAACUAUGCUGUGCCGGGACGGUGGCCACAAGAUUUGGAGGCGACAAGUGUUACAACCAACACCCACCGGUGCUGGAGACAACGACGACAAGUGCUAGAGAGCCGCAGCGACCGGCGUUCAGGAUCGCUUGAAACCACGACGACAAGUGCUGGGAGAUCCGGCGAGGGUCUGUUUUGCUGGAAGCAGCCCCAAUUUUUGUUACAACCGUCUUCUUUUUUUGCUGGAAUCAACCAUUUUUUUGCUACCAUGUUUCUGUUUUGCUGGAACCAGGGCGUAUCAAUUUUGCUACUACCAUGUUUUGUUUUUGCUGGAACCAUCUUAAUUUUUUGCUACCAUGUUUUUGAUUGGCAGAAGCAGUGUAGCAAUUUUUGCUACAACCAUGUUUCAUUUGUUGCUGGAAUCAACCAAAAAAGUUUGCUACCAUGUGUUUUUGUUUGGUGGAACAAGUGUACCAAUUGUUUUGUUACAACUGUUUUGAGUUCUGCUACUAUCGGUGUUGUCAAUUGCUACAUCUCUUCUUCCAUGACGCGCCGAGAUCCAUGACUAUGUUUUUUUUUUGCUGCAACCAUUGUCGUUUUUGCUACUACGGCGUUCAUGAAUUGAUACAUCCGUUGUCUAUUUUUGCUACUACCAUGGAUGCGCAGUCAACAACUUUUUUUUACGUUGACAGUGGCAAAGCGUUGGGGUUGAGAUUCUACGGCGAGCGACGGGAGCCAGGGCGGCGAGGGUGGCGACGAACGAGCGCGUGGGUGGCGCUUUGAGGCUGGUCAUGUGCUCGUCCAUGAAGAGUGCGAGGAGGAAGAACAAGUGCGGGGUGGAAGAAAGAAGAUCAUGUGGUUACGAAGCGUUUUAUCGUGUGGUCCUGGUGCGACCGGCCCAAAGUUGGGCCGGCGCGCCGGCGCCUAUCAGCCGCCUUUCAAGAUUUAGUUAGGCCUCUUCCAAUACUUCAUCUUGUACGGAUGCUAAAUCUUUCAUGUAGAUAAAAAAUCUGAUGUAGAAGAGGGAAGAGAUGAGUGUGAUGACCCUAAAAAAAACAAUGCUAAGCGCGUGAACCUAGAUAAAAUAUUUAAAGAAAGGAAACCCACCAAUACAUGAAGAACUUUAGUUGCUAAAUCAUUAAAUGAAGCAAGCUUAGCAACCAUAAAUUCCAAUCGUUGGUGCUUAGAGCAUCUCCACUAGGGCCCCCACGACGCCCCCAAGCACCUUUCUUU